GUACUUGCUUCGUGGUAUAUAAUAAAUUGAAUCCCCGAUACAGAGAGAAGAUUAGCAUGGCCCCUGCGAAAGGAUGACCACAUAAAUUAAGUAGGCGUUUCCAUAUUUU